UUAGCUAGUUGGUGGGGUAAAGGCCUACCAAGGCGACGAUCUAUAGCUGGUCUGAGAGGACGAUCAGCCACACUGGGACUGAGACACGGCCCAGACUCCUACGGGAGGCAGCAGUGGGGAAUAUUGGACAAUGGGCGAAAGCCUGAUCCAGCAAUACCGCGUGUGUGAAGAAGGCCUUAGGGUUGUAAAGCACUUUCAAUUGGGAGGAAAACCUACCGGUCAAUACCCGGUAGCUUGACAUUACCUUUAGAAGAAGCACCGGCUAACUCC
rnacentral:rRNA from 1 species